rnacentral:rRNA from 1 species
AGAAUCAACGCUGGCGGCGUGCCUAACACAUGCAAGUCGAACGCGAUUAUCCAGCAAUGGAUAGUUGAGUGGCGAACGGGUGAGUAACACGUGGGUGACCUACCUUCGAGUGGGGGAUAACGUCCCGAAAGGGACGCUAAUACCGCAUAACAUCCUGCCUUUGAACAGGUGGAGAUCAAAGCCGGGGAUCGCAAGACCUGGCGUUUGAAGAGGGGCCCGCGUCCGAUUAGCUAGUUGGUGGGUAACGGCUCACCAAGGCGACGAU